ACAUAGUCAUCUUCUACUCCCCUGUUCAUUUCUCCAUUAAUAUCCAUGGAGACAAAUCCACCAACCUCAGAAUUAAUGUCGCCGGUCCAUAGUUUCCCCAACCGGUUCUUUUGCAGCGACUUCCAAAAUGAUGAGGAAUUUAAUGCUCCAGCUUCUGUAUACACUUAUAUGCAUGUUGAUUGUUCUCGGUCAUCUGAAGCCCCUGUUAGAUCCCCGGAUGUUGUGAUAUCCAACAAUUUCAUGAACAGCGCGUUUAAUGAUGACCAGGUUAUGGAUAAUGAAGAAGGUUUGUUUUUUCUAUACACUCGGUUUGUUUUUUUCUUCCCCAGAUAUGGCAUUGUUCAAACAUAUUCCAUAAUGUUCACAUGUAGCAGGGGAAGAUUCGCAUAUGCAGGCCAUGACUGUUGCUGUUUCUGGAUCAUCUCAUGGUCCUUCUAUGUUUGCUGAAUCAUCACGCGGCCAGUUAGACGGGCCAUCGAAUCCAUACUUUGUUUUUGAUACCCCUCAGGGAACCCGUUACUGGAUUCCUAACGUCGCUGAUAAGU